UACGUAGGGGGCAAGCGUUGUCCGGAUUUAUUGGGCGUAAAGAGCGUGUAGGCGGCCAGACAGGUCCGUUGUGAAAACUGGAGGCUUAACCUUCAGACGUCGAUGGAAACCGUCUGGCUAGAGUCCGGAAGAGGAGAGUGGAAUUCCUGGUAUAGCGGUGAAAUGCGCAGAUAUCAGGAAGAACACCCGUGGCUAAGGCGGCUCUCUAGUACGGUACUGACGCUGAGACGCGAAAGCGUGGGGAGCGAACAGG
rnacentral:rRNA from 1 species